rnacentral:rRNA from 1 species
UGGGGAAUAUUGCACAAUGGGGGAAACCCUGAUGCAGCAAUGCCGCGUGAGUGAUGACGGCCUUCGGGUUGUAAAGCUCUGUCUUCAGGGACGAUAAUGACGGUACCUGAGGAGGAAGCCACGGCUAACUACGUGCCAGCAGCCGCGGUAAUACGUAGGUGGCAAGCGUUGUCCGGAUUUACUGGGCGUAAAGGGAGCGUAGGCGGAUUUUUAAGUGAGAUGUGAAAUACCCGGGCUUAACUUGGGUGCUGCAUUUCAAACUGGAAGUCUAGAGUGCAGGAGAGGAGAAGGGAAUUCCUAGGGUAGCGGUGAAAUGCGUAGAGAUUAGGAAGAACACCAGUGGCGAGGGCGUUUCUCUGGAGUGUAACUGGCGCUGAGGCUCGAAAGCGUGGGGAGCGAACA